AGAGUCAGAAGAGACGUUUACCUGUGUUUCUCUGUAACACUUCAACACAGACAGCUCUUCACAAGUAUAUAUUAAAGAUUGAACCUCACUGGAGCUUCAGAAUCUGCAAAAAUGAUCAUCGAAAAGGACAAGAGUCGAUCAGCUGAAGCACAAGAGAAACAGACACUGAGACAAGUUACACGGAACAGCAUUUAUGGAGACAGACCAAACUUUUGUCAUGAUUCAGACAGACCUGCUGAGAUUCAUUCUGAGGAUUCAAAGACAGACGCUCACAGAUGAGAUGAUAUAAACUAUCAAGCUCUGCUCUGAAAACACUGGAUCAUGAUCUGCUCACGAGUCACUGAACUCAGAUCAGUCAAGUGCAAAUAUUCACAGCUUUUGCCAUUUCAGAAUCAAACCAACCAAUAUUGUGAUUUAGAUUUUAUUUGGAUUUAUAAUGCUGCUCUAGAUUGAAAAAAUACACUAUAAAUAUGUCAAAUAUUAUCUUGCUAAU